rnacentral:rRNA from 1 species
UACGAAGGGGGCUAGCGUUGUCCGGAAUCACUGGGCGUAAAGCGCACGUAGGCGGGACGGUGCGUCGGUGCUGAAAGCGCCAGGCUUAACCUGGCGAGGCGUGCCGAUACGACCGACCUCGAGGCAGACAGAGGGUGGCGGAAUUCCGGGUGUAGUGGUGAAAUGCGUAGAGAUCCGGAGGAACGCCGGUGGCGAAAGCGGCCACCUGGGUCUGACCUGACGCUGAGGUGCGAAAGCGUGGGGAGCAAACCGG